rnacentral:rRNA from 1 species
GAUGAACGCUGGCGGCGUGCCUAAUACAUGCAAGUCGAGCGAACAGACGAGGAGCUUGCUCCUCUGACGUUAGCGGCGGACGGGUGAGUAACACGUGGAUAACCUACCUAUAAGACUGGGAUAACUUCGGGAAACCGGAGCUAAUACCGGAUAAUAUAUUGAACCGCAUGGUUCAAUAGUUAAAGACGGUUUUGCUGUCACUUAUAGAUGGAUCCGCGCCGCAUUAGCUAGUUGGUAAGGUAACGGCUUACCAAGGCGACGAUGCGUAGCCGACCUAAGAGGGUGAUCGGCCACACUGGAACUGAGACACGGUCCAGACUCCUACGGGAGGCAGCAGUAGGGAAUCUUCCGCAAUGGGCGAAAGCCUGACGGAGCAACGCCGCGUGAGUGAUGAAGGUCUUCGGAUCGUAAAACUCUGUUAUUAGGGAAGAACAAAUGUGUAAGUAACUAUGCACGUCUUGACGGUACCUAAUCAGAAAGCCACGGCUAACUACGUG